UACGUAGGGUGCAAGCGUUGUCCGGAAUUAUUGGGCGUAAAGAGCUCGUAGGCGGUUUGUCACGUCGGAUGUGAAAACCCGAGGCUUAACCUCGGGCCUGCAUUCGAUACGGGCUGACUAGAGUUCGGUAGGGGAGACUGGAAUUCCUGGUGUAGCGGUGAAAUGCGCAGAUAUCAGGAAGAACACCCGUGGCUAAGGCGGCUCUCUAGUACGGUACUGACGCUGAGACGCGAAAGCGUGGGGAGCGAACAGG
rnacentral:rRNA from 1 species